rnacentral:rRNA from 1 species
GACGAACGCUGGCGGCAGGCUUAACACAUGCAAGUCGAACGGUGAACGAGGGAGCUUGCUCCCUCCGGAUCAGUGGCGAACGGGUGAGUAACACGUGAGCAAUCUGCCCUGGACUCUGGGAUAAGCGUUGGAAACGACGUCUAAUACCGGAUACGAGGCGUGGGGGCAUCCCCAACGCCUGGAAAGAACUUCGGUCCAGGAUGAGCUCGCGGCCUAUCAGCUAGUUGGUGAGGUAACGGCUCACCAAGGCGACGACGGGUAGCCGGCCUGGGAGGGUGACCGGCCACACUGGGACUGAGACACGGCCCAGACUCCUACGGGAGGCAGCAGUGGGGAAUAUUGCACAAUGGGCGCAAGCCUGAUGCAGCAACGCCGCGUGAGGGACGACGGCCUUCGGGUUGUAAACCUCUUUUAGCAGGGAAGAAGCGAAAGUGACGGUACCUGCAGAAAAAGCACCGGCUAACUACGUGCCAGCCGCCGCAGUAAAAC